AAAAAGAAAUGAGAAAUGAUAAGUCUCCUGGUGUAGUGGUGUUUAAUUACAAUCCAAGCCCUUUGAAAACUCAAUCAAGAUUGCCGAUUAGAACAGAAGAAAUUGAACUUUGGCCAUCUUUUCAUUUUCAAUAGGAAACUUGAUCUUUUUUUUGUUUUCCUAUUUCAUUUUCCAUUUCUCUAGAGUCUAGAUAUGCCAAAUAAUUUGUGUACUUAUACUGAUAAUCAAGUUUUCAAAUUGUUAAACUUGCUUGAGAAGAUAACCAUAUCACCAUAUAUCCAUCCAUAUAAUCUCUCAUAAACCUUCUUUCUUAGCUUUAUAGCGAAUCUAAUUGCUGCACACAAAGAUAUUUCUCAUAACCUUUCCUAAAAUGUUUUAUAUAUAAAUAUUUCAGACACAUUUGUUUGGGCGUCUAAAGUACAAUUGGGAAAUAGAUAUUGAAACAUGGAUUUAAAAGAGGUGAGAAUUGAGGGAAAGUGUAGUGAAUAUGGACUAAUAUGCAGUGAUAUUUUGAGUUAGAUCAUUAACAUACCAUAAGGCAUUUCUACGGUCAGGAUGGAGAGAGCAUCAAUAUAUUUGCAGAUAAGUAGUUUUGCUGUCAAUUCUUCUUACAUACGAUCAUGGCUUGAUCUAUUGCCAGUAUCACCUCAUAUGGAACCUUCUCUCUCGAAGGACAAUGCAUUCAUCAUGGCACUUAAAAAGGUACUAGCAAAUGUACAUACUGUAGAAGUCUCACAGGCAAAACAGAUCAUCUUUGUUACUUUAUUUAACUGCUCAUUACAAGUUGGUUAUGGUUCUUGAUGGCAUCAAGGUCAACAAGAAGUCUCACAUGCAAAACAGAUCAUCUUUGUUACUUUACCGGACAAUCACAAGCGAUAUUAUAUCUAUCUAGCAUAUAUUGGAGUCUAUCUAGUGUAUAUAAGAAACUUCUAUCUGGUUAAAGAAACAGUGUGAAGUCUGACUAAAUUAGGAGGAAAAUGGUGGUGCAGAUUGUAUUUAUAAUUCUCAUGAGAAAUGAUAUUUGAGUGUAUUUGUAGAUGACGCUACUUAUUCUUCUCCCAUUCCUAUUGGCCAAAAUUGAUAUCGCUACUGUUAAAAUCACUUGAAAUCUUCAA